UCCCGGGUGACGCAAUUGGUUAGCGUGUCAGACUUUUACAGCAUAAGUGAAUCUGAAAGUUGCGAGUUCGAGUCUCGCCUCGGGAG
rnacentral:tRNA from 1 species